UACGAAGGGGGCUAGCGUUGCUCGGAAUCACUGGGCGUAAAGCGCACGUAGGCGGGUCGUUAAGUCGGGGGUGAAAUCCUGGAGCUCAACUCCAGAACUGCCUUUGAUACUGAGGAUCUUGAGUUCGGGGAGAGGUGAGUGGAACUGCGAGUGUAGAGGUGAAAUUCGUAGAUAUUCGCAAGAACACCAGUGGCGAAGGCGGCUCACUGGCCCGAUACUGACGCUGAGGCACGAAAGCGUGGGGAGCAAACAGGG
rnacentral:rRNA from 1 species